UGCAGUCGACGGCAGCACGGGAGCAAUCCUGGUGGCGAGUGGCGAACGGGUGAGUAAUACAUCGGAACGUGCCCAGUAGUGGGGGAUAGCCCGGCGAAAGCCGGAUUAAUACCGCAUACGACCUACGGGUGAAAGCGGGGGAUCGCAAGACCUCGCGCUAUCGGAGCGGCCGAUGUCAGAUUAUCUAGUUGGUGGGGUAAAGGCCUACCAAGGCGACGAUCUGUAGCUGGUCUGAGAGGACGACCAGCCACACUGGGACUGAGACACGGCCCAGACUCCUACGGGAGGCAGCAGUGGGGAAUUUUGGACAAUGGGCGCAAGCCUGAUCCAGCCAUGCCGCGUGCGGGAAGAAGGCCUUCGGGUUGUAAACCGCUUUUGUCAGGGAAGAAAACCUCUGGGCUAAUACCUCGGAGUAAUGACGGUACCUGAAGAAUAACCACCGGCUAACUACGUGCCACCAGCCGCGGUAAUACAUAUGGUGCAAGCGUUAAUCAGAAUUACUGG
rnacentral:rRNA from 1 species